rnacentral:lncRNA from 1 species
UCUGUCAAAAAUUAAUAAUUGCAUCCUAAAUAAAGCAUAAAUACCAAAUUUGAACCCAAUCGGACUCAUAGCAAAAAAGUUACAAUAGUCACGUGACCUGGAAGUCAAAUGUCAAAUAUCUGUGAAAAAUUAAUAAUUGCAUCCUAAAUAAACCCCAAAUACCAAAUUUCAAUCAAAUCGGACAAAUAGGAAGAAAGUUAAGGUAGUCACGUGACCUUAAAACAUAGUCAUGUCAAAUAUCUGUAAAAAUUUAUUAAUCUUAUCCGAAAUAGGUACUAGGUACCAAAUUUCAACCAAAUCGCACCAAUACCAAAAAAGUUAUGAUACUCGACUAACCUUAAAAAUCAAUAAUUUCAAAAAAAUUUUAUUUAUAUCCCAAAAGCAAUGUUUAAGAAUUAUUAACAUAUAUUAAUAAUAAACUAAAUAGUAAAAACUCACCUAAUAUCGAAAUUUUUAUUUUAAAUUAAAUAGAUCAUUACGACUGACCCGUGUAUAUAUUCGAAUAAUUUUAAUAAAAUAAUCGGGCAAAUUUCAUUUCGUCUCACCCCGGUAUAAAGACACUGACAUUUCAAAAAAACGGCAUUUUUCGAAGACGUCAAAAUGUUUGUCGAAUUUUCCUGGCCGCAAUACACAAUUUCCCCAAUUGAUAUGCACAGAUUCGGAAAGCCCAUUCAUUUUCUGAUUCGGUGCUUCCUUUCCCUGAUCGUUUCCGGUUCAUUUUCAUUCAUAAUUUUACAAAAAACCCAACCAAGUCCCGGCCACCUGUCACGAGCAAAAAAUUUGUAUCCACCAUGCGUCAAAGUAUUGUUCCCACCAGCCAUUUCAUCAGAGUUUAGGUUGACACCUCCAAUUACCUGCAAAAACGCAAAAAAAUGGACUUUUUUCAUAAAAUCGCAUUUUUCGGGUACUUGUACUAUCGCUGGAACCCUGAAAUUUUAGUAUGUGUUGUAAAACAAAAUUUCGGAUCCUUUAGAUGUUGUUUGAUCUUUUCACCAUGUACAGGGACGCCGCAAAUGAAUUAAACGCGAAAAUUCGAAUUGCUCAGAACCUAUUAAAGUUGGAAGAUUGUAAUUUUACACAAAUACUGGGGUUAUUAAAGUAUUUAAUCCCUGAGAAUAUAAAUGGUCCAGGUGCCACCACUAAAAAGUUAUUAAAUAAAAUGUGAUUUUUAGGUCGGACCUUCAUGGGUAAAGUUCAUUAUUGCUCGCCCUGUAUGGCUUACGAAAAUUUCGGUUAUAUGGCAUAUGAAAGGUAAAGGAUGAAGUUAUUUUUUGAAAAAAAAAAUUUUCCCAAAAUAAGUAUCGUUUGGCAGAAAAUUCCAAAAAACUGAAAAUGCCAGAACUCGUAAAAUAAAUUUUUUACAAAAAAAAGCUCCAAGUAUGUUAAAUCUCUUAUAAAACGAAGUCUUUUCGCCGAAACACUUUUUUUAUAAAAAUUUUUUUUUAGCCUCUGGAGAAGUUUGAAUUUUUUUUUUAGUCACUUUUGUUCGCUUAUAACAACUCACCCUGUAUACCGAUCUGGCCCAAAAAGUAUACAGUUCUUAAGCCCCCACCGACCCUCAUGUCCUAAAAAUUUAAAGUCUCUUAAAGGCUUUUUAUUUGAGUUCUCGCGUCUGAAAGGAAUUUGACCCAUUUUUUUACGAAUUUUUGACUUUGAGACAGUACCGCUCCGUUUGGUGGUACCGGAAAAAAAAAUCGUUUACGGAUCCAUCAUUCCCAAUGUAUUGAGAGGCCCUAUGCCAAAUUUCAUCGUUUCGCUAGCCAUACAGCCAAAGAUAUAAAUUUUUAUUUCCAAAAAAACACGAUUUUUCGGGCCCGGGCUCGCGUGCAUAAUAUAGUCGCAGACGCUCCUAUAUAACAAGUAUAGUCGCUUCGCUCCUAUACUUUUGGUCCGUGGGGACCAGUUUGGAACCUUUAGGUCUUGUCUGUGAAAAGCCAUAAGGGAAUUUAAAAAAACAAUCAAAAAUUAUCAGGUGUACUUAGGUGAGUCGGGGAGGCUAACGUUUACCUGCCGAGGAAAGAGAGGACCAGUUGUUGGGGUAUCAUGCUUCAAAGAACCAUAAUUUAUUAUAUAGUCGCGUUGUGUGUCAAAAUACUCUCUUAUAUUUCAAAUAUCUGUUAAAAUAUGUUAAUUGUAUCCUAAAUAAAGCCUGAAUACCAAAUUACAACAAAAUCGGACCAAUAGCAAAAAAGUUACGGUAGUCACAUGACCUAGGCUGACACUCAAAUGUCAGUUAUCUGUUAUAAUUUAUUAGUUGUAUCCUAAAUAAACCAUAAAUACUAAAUUCAGAGAGAAGUUCCCAUAAGGGUCUAUUUCUUGAAAUAGAACAAACAGGGAUUUUACGUCGAUUUGUUUUAAUUUUUCUUUUUAUUUUGAAAUGUAAUAGUAAUAAAAUAUCAAAAGAAUUGAGGAGAAUAAGAAAUAAAAGAAACCAUCAAUGAAUUGAAUCGAAGCUAUAGAAGCCGAGAUAUUAGUAAAAAUGUGGGAAAAAACAAAAGAAAACUGGUUUUUUCCCACGGUAUAAUUUUUUUUUCUUAAAAUAAUUAUUGACAAAUUAUAAUGUAAGCCCUAAGUGGGCAAUUUCAAGUAAAAAAACCCAAGAAAAAAAAAAUUUUUUUUUGCUCCAAAAUCGAAAGGGGUACGGCCAUAAAAAAUUUCGAAAAAACGGUAUUUAUUUUUUUUAAAAUAAACUAUAAGACUAACAACAUUUUGUCUUUUAUAAAAGUUAUGAGAAAUAUUACGAGGUAUCCGUACGUUAAAACGAAUCGGUUCUAGCUAUCAUAAAAUCGGAGAAAAUAAAGAAAAACCAUGAAACAUAAAUAUCGAAUUAUCAAGGGUCCUAUGGAAAAAUUUAAAUUUUUUAUUUAUCUAUCCUAUACUACUUUUAAGUACCUUUCAAAAAGGUUAUUAUCGAUUUGACUCUAAAAUAAACGGAAAACCUAUUUCUUUGCAUUUUUCGAUUUUGAAGCAAAAUCCGGGCUCAAAAUAAGAAUUUUUUCAAAAUAUGCUCCAAAUUGAAAAUUUCUUUUUUCUGGUUAAAAACCAUUCAAAAACUAACGAAAAAGCUUUAUGAUAAAAUUUUCCACGAUUUAUACGAGUGCCAUAAUAUAAAGGAAAAAAUAAGGUCCCAUAAGAGCCUAUGUAUAGGGAUAACACAACCGGGUUUUUACGUCGAUUUUUUUAAUUUUUCAGUUUUAUUUCGAAAGGCAAUUGUAAUAAAAUAUAAAAAGAACUAACAGGAGAAGAAUAAGGAAUAAUAGAAACCAUCAACGAAUUGAAUCGAAGCUAUAGAAGCCGAGAUAUUAGUAAAAAUGUGAAAAAAAAUAAAAGAAAGCUCGUUUUUUCCCACGGUACCAUUUUUUUUUGUUAAAAUUAUAAUCGACAAAUCAUAAUGUAAGCCCUAUGAUGGCAAUUUCAAGUAAAAAAAACCCAAGAAAAAAAAAUUUUUUUUUGCUCCAAAUUCGAAAGGGGUAUAGCCAUGAAAAAUUGUGAAAAAAUGGUUUUUAUUUUUUUCUAAAUAAACUAUAACUCUGACAACUUUUUGUCUUAAACAAAAGUUCUAGGGAAUGUUACGAGGUAUUCGAAUGUUAAAACUAAUUGAUUAUAGCUAUCACAGAUUUGGAGAAAAUUGUAAAAAACUAUUAAUCAUAAAUAUCGAAUUAUCAAGAGCCCUAUGGAAAAAUUUCAACUUUUUAUUUUUCUAUCUUGUAUUACUUCAGGAUACCUUUCAAAAAGGUUAUUAUCGAUUUGACUCUAAAAUGAACAGAAAACCUAUUUAUUUGCAUUUAUCGAUUUUCAAACAAAAUCCGGCCCAAAAUGAAAAUUUUUCAAAACAUGCUCCAAAUUCAAAAUUUCUUUUUUCUGGCUAAAGACCA